UGCUUGAAGAGGUGCAGUUGAGACUUGACUUCGAGGAGCAACUCAUAGCACGCGGUGUGGUAGCCUUUUUUGAGGUUUUUGAAGACUUUGGCGAUUUUUGAAGCUUUUCCAAAACUUCUUUUGCAGCCAUUUGGUAAGUUAAACUUUUAAAACUUUUUUUGGGGUUUUGGAUUUUGGGUUGGGGUGUUUGGAAUUCAAGGACUUGGUGUUGGGGAGGGGUUUGCAAGAAUCUGGAAGCUUGUGUGGUUUUUUUCUGCAUUUUUAUGAUUUUCUGUGACCAUUGGGCCACUCUGCUGUUUUUUAUAUAAACUUCUGGUUUGGAAUUUCUGUGUGGUGGGUGGCUGGGGGAACAGUUGAGGACGGGUUUGCUAGAAUCUGGGAGCUUGUGUGGUUUUUUAAAAAUUUUUAUGAUUUUCUGUGACCAUUGGGCCAUGUUGUUUUUUUUCAAAAAAAAAUUCUGAGUUUGAAUUUCUAUGUGGUGGGUGGCUGGGGGAACAGUUGGGGAGGGGUUUGCAAGAAUCUGGGAGCUUGUGUGGUUUUUUUUUUUAAUUUUUAUGAUUUUCUGUGACCAUUGGGCCAUGUUUUUUUUUUAAAAAAAAAAUUCUGGGUUUGAAUUUCUGUGUGGUGGGUGGCUGGGGGAACAGUUGGGGAGGGGUUUGCAAGAAUCUGGGAGCUUGUGUGGUUUUUUUUUUAAAUUUUUAUGAUUUUCUGUGACGAUUGGGCCAUGUUGUUGUUGUUUUUUUAAUUUUCUGGGUUUGAAUUUCUGUGUGAUGGGUGGCUGGGGGAACAGUUGGGGAGAGGUUUGCAAGAAUCUGGGAGCUUGUGUGGGGUUUUUUUUUGAAUUUUUAUGAUUUUCUGUGACCAUUGGGCCAUGUUGUUUUUUUUUAGUUUUUUUUUUUUCUGGGUUUGAAUUUCUGUGUGGUGGGUGGCUGGGGGAACAGUUGGGAAGGGGUUUGCAAGAAUCUGGGAGCUUGUGUGGGUUUUUUUUUAAUUUUUAUGAUUUUCUGUGACCAUUGGGCCAUGUUGUUGUUUUUUUUUUUAAAAAAAAAUUCUGGGUUUGAAUUUCUGUGUGGUGGGUGGCUGGGGGAACAGUUGGGGAGGGGUUUCCAAGAAUCUGGGAGCUUGUGUGGUUUUUUUUUUUGAAUUUUUAUGAUUUUCUGUGACCAUUGGGCCAUGUUGUGUUUUUAAAAAAAAUAAAAUUCUGGGUUUGAAUUUCUGUGUGGUGGGUGGCUGGGGGAACAGUUGGGAAGGGGUUUGCAAGAAUCUGGGAGCUUGUGUGGGUUUUUUUCUGCAUUUUUAUGAUUUUCUGUGACCAUUGGGCCAUGUUUUUUUUUUAAAAAAAAUUCUGGGUUUGAAUUUCUGUGUGGUGGGUGGCUGGGGGAACAGUUGGGGAGGGGUUUGCAAGAAUCUGGGAGCUUGUGUGGUUUUUUUUUUUUAAUUUUUAUGAUUUUCUGUGACCAUUGGGCCAUGUUGUUUUUUUAUAAAAAAAAAUUCUGGGUUUGAAUUUCUGUGUGGUGGGUGGCUGGGGGAACAGUUGGGGAGGGGUUUGCAAGAAUCUGGGAGCUUGUGUGGUUUUUUUUUUGAAUUUUUAUGAUUUUCUGUGACCAUUGGCCAUGUUGUUUAUUUAAAAAAAUUUUUCUGGGUUUGAAUUUCUGUGUGGUUGGUGGCUGGGGGAACAGUUGGGGAGGGGUUUGCAAGAAUCUGGGAGCUUGUGUUUUUUGUUUUUUUUUUGGAAUUUUUAUGGUUUUCUGUGACCAUUGGGCCAUGUUGUGUUUAAAAAAAAAUAAAAAAUUCUGGGUUUGAAUUUCUGUGUGGUGGGUGGCUGGGGGAACAGUUGGGGAGGGGCUUGCAAGAAUCUGGGAGCUUGUGUGGUUUUUUUUUUUGAAUUUUUAUGAUUUUCUGUGACCAUUGGGCCAUGUUUUUUUUUUUAAAAAAAAGCAUUCUGGGUUUGAAUUUCUGUGUGGUGGGUUGGGGAGGGGUUUGCAACAGUUGGGGAGGGGUUUGCAAUUUCUGUGUGGUGGGUGGGUGGCUGGGGGAACAGUUGAGGUUUUUGAAGACUUUGGUGAUUUUUGAAGCUUUUCCAAAACUUCUUUGCAGCCAUUUGAGGUUUUAGAAGACUUUGGCGAUUUUUGAAGCUUUUCCAAAACUUCUUUUGCAGCCAUUUGGUAAGUUAAACUUUUAAAACUUUUUUGGGGGGUUUUGGAUUUUGGGUUGGGUGUUUGGAAUUCAAGGACUUGGUUCUGGGUUUGAAUUUCUGUGUGGUGGGUGGCUGGGUGCUUUUGAAUUUUUUGGAUGUGAAGCACUGAUUUUUUUUAUUUUUUUUUUGGGUUUGCGCAGGUAGGAGCUGUGCUGCCAUGGGACCCAAGAAGACUGCUGCUGCAGAGGCCGGCGAGAGGAAGAAGGAGAAGGUGAUGCUGGAAAUGAAGAAGGAGAUCAUCCGGAAGCACGACGGUGGAAUGCGUGUGACAGACCUCGCCAGGGAGUACGGGAGGAAUCCAUCGACCAUCGGGACCAUCCUGAAGAUGAGGGAGAAGAUCCUUGCGACUGAUGCAGCCAAGGGAGUCACCAGGAUCGUAAAGAACCGCCCAGCUGUUCUGGAGGAGUUCGAGAAGUUGCUGCUCAUCUGGUUAGAAGAGAAGCAGCGUACAGGGGACACAGUGACUGAGGCCGUCAUUUGUGAGAAGGCCAAGGCCUUGCAUGCAGACCUCGUCCGGGAACAGCCAGGAACCUCAGGCGAGCCAGAAGUCUUAAAGGCAAGCAGAGGUUGGUUCAAGGCAAGAUCUGGAAUCCACAGCGUGGUCAGGCAUGGAGAGGCUGCCAGUUCUGAUGUUCCUGCGGCUGAAGACUUUGCAGCGGAGUUCCUGGAGGCUGUGAAGACGGAGGGCUACGUUCCACAGCAGGUCUUCAACUGCGACGAGACCGGGCUGUUUUGGAAGAGGAUGCCCAAAAGGACUUUCAUCACUCAGGAGGAGGCCAAGUUGCCUGGCCACAAGCCCAUGCAGGACCAUCUGACCCUGCUCUUCUGUGCCAACGCAAGCGGCGACCUGAAGAACAAGCCCCUGCUGGUGUACCACUCGGAGAACCCACGGGCCUUCAAGAAACACAAGGUCGACAAGGAGCAGCUGAGUGUCAUGUGGUGAUCCAACAGUAAGGCUUGGGUCACACGUGUGCUGGUUGUGGACUGGGGCAAUCUUGCUUUGGCCCUGCUGUCAAACAGUACCUGCUGGACAACGACCUGCCGCUGAAGGCUUUGCUUCUGAUGGACAAUGCUCCUGCUCAUCCUAAAGGCCUUGAGUUGGACUUGUUGGAGGAGUUUCAGCUUCAUCAGCAUCAUGUUCCUGCCGCCUAACACCACGCCACUGCUCCAGCCGAUGGAUCAGCAGGUCAUCGCCAAUUUCAAAAAACUCUACACCAAGGAGCUUUUCAGGCGAUGCUUCGAGGUGACUGAUUGCACCACCAUCACCCUGCGGGAAUUCUGGAAGGAUCACUUCAACAUCGUCACCUGCUUGAAGAUGAUCACCACGGCCUGGAACGGGAUCAGCCAGAGAAAUUUGAAUUGCGCUUGGCGCAGCCUGUGGCCGGACUGUGUGGCACCAAGUGACUCUGAUGCACCAGAGUCAACAGUGGUGCAGGACAUUGUUGCCUUGGGCAGGACCAUGGGCCUGGAGGUCACAGAGGAGGACAUCAGCAAGCUGGUGGAGGAGUACGACCACGAGCUGACCACCCAGGAGCUGGUCGAACUGCAGGCAGAGGCUGCGCAGGAGCAGGCCUCGCUGGAAGAGGAGGAAGCAACUGAGGAACGGCUGUCCUCCAAAGAACUGAGGGACAUUUGCAUGAAGUGGAAGGAUGUGCAGGCUUUGCACAGCGGCACCACCCUGACAAGCACGUGGCACAUGACCUUGCGAACACUUUUGAUACGAGGGUCAUGUCGCCUUUCAGGGAGGUGCUGAAAAGGCGGAUGAAGCAGCAGACCAUGGACAGGUUCUUCAGCAAGAAGCAAAGAGUGGAAGAGGAACCUUCUUCGAGUGGUCCCCCAGAGUCUUAGAAAAUGUACUGUACACUUUGUUGAUUUUUAAAUGUUUUUCUGUCAUGUUUAGAAACUUAAUUUAUUGUUCCUUCAGUUUUUGAAAUGCUCUUUACAGUAUGUGUGACUUUAAAGAGCACUUAAUAAACUCUUGUUGUACCAAAUUUGGCUUUGUUUGGACUUUUUUUGACCAUAGGAACGCAUUAAUUGAAUUUCAAUGCAUUCCUAUGGGAUUUCGUGCUUCGCUAGACGAAAAAUUCGCUAGACGAAAAAACUUGCGGAACGAAUUAAUUUCGUCUUGCGAGGCACCACUGUAGUGUUUUGCAGAGAUGAAAGCAGGUGUAGUGGUGGGGGAGAAAUUAAGUGUGGAAGCUCAGGAGCGCUGACAGAAAGAGGCCACUGUGAUUCCCCCCACCCACUUCCUCAUUUUUUAACACCCCCCCACACACACGAGAAAGAGAGAGCGAGAGAGAGCGAGAGCACCAAAGAUGUUCUUUUGUCUCUUAGCUGUGCCGCUCUUCAAAAAGUAUUCAUCUUAAAUUAGGGUCAUGGUGGGGCUCAUUAAAUGUUUCACUAAAGGUUGUUUCAUUUGGGGCUGAUAUUCUGCCAAUCAAAUUGUCCAGAGUGAAGGUAGGAGCUGUAACUGUGCAAAGUGAUAAUAGCACCUGGGGAAAUAAAGGUUGAGGCUUAAAAUAAGUGUGUGUGUGUGUGUGUGUGUGUGUGUGUGUGUAGAGAAUUAUCCAUCCUUGGGAGAACAAAUCUAACCUGGAAAGAUACUUCCAAAAGCUAAACAGGAUGAUGUGAUGGGGGAGGCAGUGGGGAGGCAGGGAGAAGAAUGAAAAAAACAAUGCAAGUUCCAAAGUGGAUUUUCAGUUCCAACAUUUUAGUGCCUCGGGAGAAGGACAAGAUGGCAAGUCUCCCCUCCACUUGCCAUUGCACCACCACCAUUUACAGCUUUUAAAGAAAGUCUGGCUUUAGCAAUGAGAGAUGACCAGAAGAUAAGAAGAAUAAAGGUGGGCAGAAGAAAUCAGUAUUGUAAUACAGUAUAUGCAGAUGACAUAAUGUUACUUUUUUCCUACCAAUUAACCGUUUGGAAUAAAUUAAGGAGGUGAUUCAAUAAAUGGGUGGGGCUACUGAAUAGACGCAUCUAAAACAGAAUUUAUUGGAUUCUGUUUGAAGGGAGAGGACAAACUCCUUGAAUUUUUCUGUUGAAAAAGGAAAGGUAGGAGAUAUAUGCUGGGAGCAAACAAGCAAGCUAGGUGCUAUGUUAACGAUUAUUUCUUGAAGACAGGCUUGAUGGUGAAUGUGAUAAAGGUGGCCCACUGCUUGAUGGUUAUAUGUGCUUGACAAAAUGGAUUGCUGUUAAGAAAUGAAAAGAAGCUUGAGUAAAUCUUUUUCCUCAGCAGCGUUCAUAUAAAAAAAAUAAACUGGAAAAGAUACCAUGGCUGAUUGAUUUUGUUCUGUUCUCCAAAAGCUCCACUUGUGUCAAAACCAACUUCCAUUCCAUCAGGAGUAUGUUUGACAUUUGACGGGCUGUCACUGGAAAGACAAAUGUGUCCAAUCAAAAGCAGCUGAGGAGAGAGAUGACCUUUGCCGUCACUUCUUGAUGUGCUGUGAGCUAAUAAAUUAAGGAAAGGAGAUUAAAGAUACAGGCAGAUGGGGAGGCAGUUGGCUGGGCAGACAGGGUGAAGAGUUACGUUGUCUCUUGAGAUGGCCUUAUCAAAUAGCUGUUGCUGGAGGCUUCUUUCUAGAAUCUCAGUCAAAACCAGAAGCUACAUAAAGUUCUGCGUAAUUUCCCCUGGUUGCUUUGUAUAAGGUAGAGGGACCCCUGACCAUUAGGUCCAGUCGUGACUGACUCUGGGGUUGCGGCGCUCAUCUCGCUUUAUUGGCCAAGGGAGCCAGCGUACAGCUUCCAGGUCAUGUGGCCAGCAUGACUAAGCCACUUCUGGCAAACCAGAGCAGUGAAUGAAAAUGCCGUUUACCUUCCCGCCGGAGCAGUACCUAUUUAUCUACUUGCACUUUGACGUGCUUUUGAACUGCUAGGUUGGCAGGAGCUGGGACUGAGCAACAGGAGCUCACCCCGUCGUGGGGAUUCGAACUGCCGACCUUCUGAUCAGCAAGUCCUAGGCUCUGUGGUUUAACCCACAGCGCCACCCGUGCCCCUUGGUUGCUUUGUAUACGUAACUGAAAAAAGCAGAGCCUGGAGACUGCAAUCAGGAAUUGAGGAAGGGUGAGAGGUGGUUCGCCACUCUCUGCUGGCCAUUUUCCUCCUUUUGUUGUUCAAAGAUAAAUUACAAAAAUGAGGAAGAAAAAGGAGAGUGUUCAUAACACAAUGAUGAUGAUGAUGACGACGACGACGACGACGACAAUGAUUUAUUUAUACCCUGUCCAUCUGGCUGGGUUUCCCCAGCCACUCUGGGCGGCUUCCAACAAAAUAUUAAAAUACAAUAGUCUGUCAAACAUUAAAAGCUUCCCUAAACAGGGCUGCCUUCAGUUUUCUUCUAAAAGUCUGGUAGUUGUUUUUCUCUGUUCCCUGUAACUUGGCUUCUUCGCAGCAAGGGAACAGCCAGAAGGCCCUCAGCACUGGACCUCAGUGUCCGGGCAGAACAAUGGGGGUGGAGACAUUCCUUCAGGUAUACUGGACCGAGGCCCUUUAGGGCUUUAAAGGUCAGCACCAACGCUUUGAAUUGUGCUCGGAAAUGUACUGGGAGCCAAUGCAGAUCUCUCAGAACCGGUGUUAUGUGGUCUUGGUGGCCACUCCGAGUCACCAGUCUAGAUGCCACAUUCUGGAUUAGUUGUAGUUUCUGGGUCACUUUCAAAAAAUAUUUGUGCACAGGAUAAUACUUAGUUUCAGGUCACAUCCACAACAAACACAAUGAACACCUUAUGUUAAGUGAUGAAUUAAUAUGUUUAAUUUCAUAAUGUGAAGAUCUAAGGAUGUUAAUGUUAAAGUUAAAUUUUAUAAGAACUGUGAUUUGGAAAACCGUUAAAAGGAUAUGCAAUGAAAUUCAACCAAGGGGAAGCGAGGAAGUCACUUAACAAUGUUAAUAAUCUUCAAUAAGGCUAUGGUUUAUGUUUCUUUGUCUUAUGUGUUUGUUUGUUUAUAAUGUUGUGAAAACCAAUAAAAAAAAUUUAGAGGGAAAAAAUGAACACCUGUACCACUAUCAUGGUCAUGCGCCCCCCCCCCCAAUAAUUUUGGAGACUGUAGUUUGUUCAGGGUCUCCUGACAACUCUCAGUACCCUUAACAAACUAUAGUUGCCAGGAUUCUUUUGGGGGAAGCCAUGAGUGUUAAAAUGCUAAAAUAACUCUUAUGUGUUAAGAUAAAUAGAAAUGCAGAUAUUUUGUAUCGUACUUCUACAUUACUUAGAGUGAAGCAGUGAAAUGCAUUGUAUGCUGGAAGAUAAUGUAAGAUGUAAUAAUAUUUCAAUAUGUCUCCUACUAACAAAUACAAAUUUAUUUGUUCUUGCUCUCUGUUAUUCCAAUGAAAUAUAAACAACUUCCAUUUUUCACCCAAUGCCUUCUGUCAAAAUAGAUUUUCCACCCAUGAGAGAAAAUAUAUAGACCCCUGUAUCUUUUUCCUUGUGCUGGGGAAUAAACAAACAAGCAGCUUGAGCGGCCUGUGGCUCUGUGUGCGCACAAACAUGUUUUUGGAUAAUAUCCUACGCAGAGUAAAUUGGAAUUAUUUUCAUUAGAGACUAAUAUGAUUCAAUCUCAUUUCUUUUGUAGGUUUAUCUAGCAACAACGAUGCCUUCACAACCGCCCCUCCAAAACUCAUCAGGCUAAGACAUCUUAAUGCUGCUGCUUAAACAUUUCAUUUGGGAUGAACUGAACUAGCCUCUUUGCUUUUGUUGGUAUUCUAGUAGUAAUUUGGUUAAAGAAUAAAAUGAGAAUUCCCAGGAUGCCUAGAGCCCGUUCUGAGGCAAGUAUGCUUUUGUGUGAGAGAGUUCAAAUCAAUAAACAUGUAGCAAAGUAAAGCAGAAAUAUAGGCCUUUAGUCAUUUAAAAUAUCCCCUUCUAAGUUGCUUCCAAAGUUCCCCGCUUCCCCUUAAGCAUAGAAAGCACUUAAACUCUUCUAAGGUUAGAUUCAUGUGCUUUUCCAUAUAGCAAGAAAAGGCAGUACAAUUUCAUUUCAAAGUUGGUAAAUGUUUCUAAAUUAUUUGUAUUGAAAUACAGAGGUGAC